rnacentral:rRNA from 1 species
AUAGCGUAUAUUAAAGUUGUUGCGGUUAAAAAGCUCGUAGUUGGAUUUCUGUUGAGGGAGAUCGGUCCGCACUAUGUGCGUGUAUCUGAUUCUGCCUCGGCAUCCUCUCGAAUCCCGGUCUGCGCUUUAUUGCGUGGGUCGGACUUCGGGACUUUUACUUUGAGGAAAUUAGAGUGUUCACGGCAGGCAAGCGCCUUGAAUAUAUUAGCAUGGAAUAAUGAUAUAGGAUCUUGGUCCUAUUUUGUUGGUUUCUAGGGCUAAGAUAAUGAUUAAUAGGGACAAUUGGGGGCAUUCGUAUUAACGCGUCAGAGGUGGAAUUCUUGGAUUGCGUUACGACGAACUACUGCGAAAGCAUUUGCCAAGGAUGUUUUCAUUGAUCAAGAACGAAAGUAAGGGGAUCGAAGACGAUUAGAUACCGUCGUAGUCUUUACCAUAAACUAUGCCAACUAGAGAUGGGGCGUCGUUCAUUUAUGACUCGCUCCGCACCUUAUGAGAAAUCAAAGUUUUUGGGUUCCGGGGGGAGUAUGGUCGCAAGGCUGAAACUUAAAGG